rnacentral:lncRNA from 1 species
UCAUAAAAUCAUUAGGUUUUACAUUUGGAAAUCUCUUUCAUUUAAUUUUCAUUAAUGUGUCAUUUUCAGGUCUAUGAAGAAUAAACAAAUUUACAUUUUCUCCUGUAUCUUGCCUCAUUAGUAAGUGCUUUGAAUAGUCAGUCACCUGCAUUGUCAAGGAAGUCUGCCGAUUGGACUGCGUUUUUGAAGUCUUGCCUUUGACAUCAGUAUUCAUUUUAAUGUCAUGCCAUCAAUGUGUCGCCUCAAGAGGAGAUCAUUUCAGUCUUAAUAUAGUCAGGUAAGUAAGAGCGUUUCACCCUGGGAAAUGCAAGAAGUACAGAAUGGGAACCUUCUGGGUUGGGGCACAAAGUCCAAAGAAAACCCCU